rnacentral:rRNA from 1 species
UACAGGGGGUGCAAACGUUGCUCGGAAUCAUUGGGCGUAAAGCGCACGUAGGCGGUCUGUUAUGUCGGAUGUGAAAGCCCUUGGCUUAACUGAGGAAGUGCAUCCGAAACUGGCAGGCUAGAGUACUAAAAAGGGUCGCGGAAUUCCCGGUGUAGAGGUGAAAUUCGUAGAUAUCGGGAGGAACACCGGUGGCGAAGGCGGCGACCUGGGUAGAUACUGACGCUGAGGUGCGAAAGCGUGGGGAGCAAACAGG